rnacentral:misc_RNA from 1 species
UAAUAAGUGUUUUAUGGCACUCUUUAAAAAUCCAUAUCCACCUUGUGUGCAAUGUCAGUCGAUCUUCUUCAUGGAGGUCGGCCAAACAUCAACCUUAUCUUUUAACUCUUUGUCUGAAAAAUAUUAUGAAUAAACAAUUCAAAAUA